UACGGGGGGGGCAAGCGUUGUCCGGAAUUAUUGGGCGUAAAGAGCUCGUAGGCGGUCUGUCGCGUCGGAUGUGAAAACACGGGGCUCAACCCCGUGCCUGCAUUCGAUACGGGCAGACUAGAGUUCGGUAGGGGAGAGUGGAAUUCCUGGUGUAGCGGUGGAAUGCGCAGAUAUCAGGAGGAACACCGAUGGCGAAGGCAGGUCUCUGGGCCAUUACUGACACUGAGAAGCGAAAGCAUGGGGAGCGAACAGG
rnacentral:rRNA from 1 species